GAUGAACGCUGGCGGCGUGCCUAAUACAUGCAAGUCGAGCGAACAGACGAGGAGCUUGCUCCUCUGACGUUAGCGGCGGACGUGUGAGUAACACGUGGAUAACCUACCUAUAAGACUGGGAUAACUUCGGGAAACCGGAGCUAAUACCGGAUAAUAUAUUGAACCGCAUGGUUCAAUAGUGAAAGACGGUUUUGCUGUCACUUAUAGAUGGAUCCGCGCCGCAUUAGCUAGUUGGUAAGGUAACGGCUUACCAAGGCGACGAUGCGUAACCGACCUAAGAGGGUGAUCGGCCACACUGGAACUGAGACACGGUCCAGACUCCUACGGGAGGCAGCAGUAGGGUAUCUUCCGCAAUAGGCGAAAGCCUGACGGAGCAACGCCGCGCGAGUGAUGAAGGUCUUCGGAUCGUAAAACUCUGUUAUUAGGGAAGAACAAAUGUGUAAGUAACUAUGCACGGCUUGACGGUAACUAAUCAGAAAGCCACGGCUAACUACGUG
rnacentral:rRNA from 1 species